rnacentral:tRNA from 1 species
CAAAAUAUAGUUUAUUAUUAAAAACAUUAAUUUUGGAGAUUAAAAAUAUAAAGGUAAUUUUAUUAUUUUGA